CUAGGAGGGCAUCUAGAGGCGCCCUUUCUGGUCUAGGCGUCCUACAGGCAGCUGGAGGAAGACGUCUGAGCUGACAUCAGAUUCAUGGGGUGGACUCCUAGGAGCGGGAUGGCUGGGUGAAGGAUAUGAACUCUGUUAAGGGUUUUGAUGCAUAUUGCCAAACCACUUUCCAAAAAGCCCGUGAUGAUUCCUCCCCGAUCGGCAGCUCACAGGUGCACCUUUCCCCACGCAGGAGGACUUCUCACCUAACUUUACUCAGGCAUCGUCCUUCAGAGAUCCUGUCCACCUCUGGGUCCGCGUCUCUUUGUGAUCAACUCCAGCCUCUUCCCUCCUUCCCAUGAGCUCUGCAUUGCACCUGGGUCCACCUGGACCCCAGCCACGGUGAGCAGCUGGACUGAGGACGGGCCACACCCUGGGCCUGCUCCUGACCAUGCUCCUUCCAUUUGUGGGAUAUUUCAUCACCCCAAACUCAAAACCCCAGAAUAACCCGUGCACUUCUCCCUUGUCUGCUGUCCCAAAUCCCUUUGUUCUUCCAUCCUAGCACCUCCUCCAGUGGCCCUUCCUUUCAGUUUCUGCCACCGGCUCCCUGGGCUGUCCCCUGCACUCUCUGGGCAGGCUGGCCCCCACUCAGCCUAUCUUGAACACAACUGCUCAGACUCAUGCUUUAAAGCCCCCUCUUGAAGUCACUCACCUAAUUGAAAGCCACCUGUGAGUUCCUGCUUAAGCAAAGUUGCGAGGCCUUCCAUGAAGGGCUUUGAGCAGCGGGCCUGCCCCAUUGCCUGGCCACCCCUUACUCUGCAGCCAGCCUGUGGGGGGCUGCUCACUGUUCUUCCCACAUGCCCAGUGGUUCCCUUCCUCGGUGACUUCACUUCUUUCAUCCCUGACAAUAAAAUGCCUUCUUUUUCUCUAUCUGUUCCCCAACUCCAAUUUAAAGUCCCUGCACAAUAUUUUCCCAGGUCACCGUGGCUGAACUCGAUUCUUUGUCCUCUGUACCCUGUGGAACUUAGUCUGUGUCCCUCCCGCCACGUCGCCUGAUGCUGUAUGUGGGAGCCGUCUUCCUGGUGGACAGUGAGCUCCCUGGGCAGGCACUGAGUGUCCCUAUGGUAUCCCUUGUAGGGUACACCUUGAGGAUACACCUCACCCACUGUAGGUAUCCAAGUAACAUUUGAUCCAGUGAAUAAGUAUGAAUGAAUGAAGGAUAUUGUUAAGUAUGAAUGAACGAAGGAUAUUGUUUUCCCCGUUUCUGGAGAAAAAAAUCCACAAAAGCCUGUUUGUCUUGGUGUUGCUUUUUUUGUACCCUUUAACCCAUUCCACAGAUUAGCAACAACAUGUAUUUCAUUGGUGGUUCUUAAUAAACAUUAAAUUAGGCCAGGUGCAGUGGCUCACACCUGUAUUCCCAGCACUUUGGGAGGCAGAGGAGGGAGGAUCACUUGAGCCCAG
rnacentral:lncRNA from 10 species